AUUGAACGCUGGCGGCAGGCCUAACACAUGCAAGUCGAGCGGUAGCACAGAGAGCUUGCUCUCGGGUGACGAGCGGCGGACGGGUGAGUAAUGUCUGGGAAACUGCCUGAUGGAGGGGGAUAACUACUGGAAACGGUAGCUAAUACCGCAUAAUGUCGCAAGACCAAAGUGGGGGACCUUCGGGCCUCAUGCCAUCAGAUGUGCCCAGAUGGGAUUAGCUAGUAGGUGGGGUAACGGCUCACCUAGGCGACGAUCCCUAGCUGGUCUGAGAGGAUGACCAGCCACACUGGAACGGAGAAACGGUCCAGACUCCUACGGGAGGCAGCAGUGGGGAAUAUUGCACAAUGGGCGCAAGCCUGAUGCAGCCAUGCCGCGUGUGUGAAGAAGGCCUUCGGGUUGUAAAGCACUUUCAGCGGGGAGGAAGGCGAUGAGGUUAAUAACCUCAUCGAUUGACGUUACCCGCAGAAGAAGCACCGGCUAACUCCGUGCCAGCAGCCGCAGUAAAAC
rnacentral:rRNA from 1 species